rnacentral:rRNA from 1 species
GGGUGAGUAAUACAUAGGUAACCUGCCCCUGUGCGGGGGUAUCUACCGGAGGAAACUCCUGCUAAUACCGCAUAGCCAUGAGCACCGCAUGGAGCUCAUGCCAAAUAUCCUUCAGGGGAUAGCGCAGGGAUGGACCUAUGGCGCAUUAGCUAGUUGGCGGGGCAACGGCCCACCAAGGCAACGAUGCGUAGCCGGCCUGAGAGGGCGGACGGCCACAUUGGGACUGAGACACGGCCCAGACUCCUACGGGAGGCAGCAGUAGGGAAUUUUCGGCAAUGGGGGAAACCCUGACCGAGCAACGCCGCGUGAGCGAAGAAGGCCUUCGGGUCGUAAAGCUCUGUUGUAAAGGAAGAACGUCGCAUGCAGGAAAUGGUGUGCGAGUGACGGUACUUUACCAGAAAGCCACGGCUAACUACGUGCCAGCAGCCGCGGUAAUACGUAGGUGGCGAGCGUUAUCCGGAAUCAUUGGGCGUAAAGAGGGAGCAGGCGGCCGCAAGGGUCUGUGGUGAAAGACCGAAGCUAAACUUCGGUAAGCCAUGGAAACCGGGCGGCUAGAGUGCGGAAGAGGAUCGUGGAAUUCCAUGUGUAGCGGUGAAAUGCGUAGAUAUAUGGAGGAACACCAGUGGCGAAGGCGACGGUCU